rnacentral:rRNA from 1 species
UACGUAGGUGGCAAGCGUUGUUCGGAAUUAUUGGGCGUAAAGGGCGCGUAGGCGGCAUGUUAAGUCGGCUGUGAAAGCCUGGGGCUCAACCCCAGAGGGUCGGCCGAUACUGGCAAGCUAGAGUACGGAAGAGGUAGCUGGAAUUCCCGGUGUAGCGGUGAAAUGCGUAGAUAUCAGGAGGAACACCGGUGGCGAAGGCGGUUCUCUGGGCAUGAUCUGACGCUGAGGAGCGAAAGUGUGGGGGAGCGAACAGG